rfam:Ipomoea nil DNA, scaffold: scaffold2191, cultivar: Tokyo-kokei standard.
GCUCUUGUAGCUCAGUUGGUUAGAGCACCUGUUUAGUAAGCGGGAGGUCUUGAGUUCAACUCUCAACAAGAGCA